AUUUAGAUAGCUUAAAUUUUUAAAGCAUAAUAUUGAAGAUAUUAAGAUAAUAUGUUAAAUAUUUUUAAAUA
rnacentral:tRNA from 1 species